rnacentral:rRNA from 1 species
UACGUAGGGGGCAAGCGUUGUCCGGAAUCAUUGGGCGUAAAGCGCGUGUAGGCGGCCAGAAAAGUCCGCUGUGAAAACUCGAGGCUCAACCUCGAGCUGUCGGUGGAAACUUUCUGGCUAGAGUCCGGAAGAGGAGAAUGGAAUUCCUGGUGUAGCGGUGAAAUGCGCAGAUAUCAGGAAGAACACCCGUGGCGAAGGCGGUUCUCUGGGACGGUACUGACGCUGAGACGCGAAAGCGUGGGGAGCAAACAGG